CAGCAGCCACGGUAAUACGUAGGUGGCAAGCGUUGUCCGGAAUUAUUGGGCGUAAAGGGCUCGCAGGCGGUUUCUUAAGUCUGAUGUGAAAGCCCCCGGCUCAACCGGGGAGGGUCAUUGGAAACUGGGAAACUUGAGUGCAGAAGAGGAGAGUGGAAUUCCACGUGUAGCGGUGAAAUGCGUAGAGAUGUGGAGGAACACCAGUGGCGAAGGCGACUCUCUGGUCUGUAACUGACGCUGAGGAGCGAAAGCGUGGGGAGCGAGCAGGAUUAGAUACCCCGGUAGUCCCUGUCUCUUAUAC
rnacentral:rRNA from 1 species